UCCGCCGUGGUGUAAUGGCAGCACUGGGGCUUUUGGUGCCUUAAGUCCGGGUUCGAAUCCUGGCGGCGGAG
rnacentral:tRNA from 1 species